rnacentral:lncRNA from 1 species
UCCAUACCAAGAAACAUAGGUAGUGGCAACAUCCAUGAAUGGAUGCAAAUUGGAGUACAGUGACUUUGUUAGAAAUGUUCACUGUCACUUUGCAAGAUAUAUUAUAAAUAUGACUAUUAAUUAAAGUCUUUUUUUAAAGUUCUGUAAAUGUUUUUUGGAACGAUGAAUGUGGAUAUAAUAACUAAUUAAAUAAAUAUAGUUUAAAUUCAAAAUAAUUUAUUCUAGUUUAAAUUCUAUAAUGAAAUGAAAAAUUGCAAACUGUACCUCAGAAAAUAGUAGCUAUUCUGGAUUAGUGAUAUAUUAUCUUCAGUGUUGACCUUGGUAAGUAGGAUUAGAAUCUUAAGUAUAAAGUAAAUUAUAUCUUUUGAUUGGCAUACUGUAGAUGAUUACGCGAUAAAUGAAAACAAAUCACAUUCCUGGUGCUGUCUGGGAUUUUCUACAGCUAUUUUCCUUUACUCUCUUUCUUAAUCUUUCUUGAAAAGAGAUAGGUUGCUUUCUUUAUUCAAAGAAAAUAGUUUAAUUAGCACGAAGCAACAGUGUCUACUAAAAUUGAAGGAAAUUAAUGAGUUUGGCCUGGAAUUCAAAAGAUAGCUAAAAAGAAAAUACAAAUAUAUCUAAGGGGCAGUCUAAUAAUCUAAUCUAGUUUAGCAAUGAGGUGGGCAUUUAUAAUGCCAGCUGAGUUUGGCCUCUUUCAUUUUGGGGAGGAUUGGCAAGGGUUUCCCUGUAUUAUAUCCUGCUAUACGCAACUGAUUUUCAUGGUGAUAUAUCCCUUGAGAUUUUAUCCUAAAUGUAUGGUUCCACAGAAGAAAAAAUGUGGAUAAAAAUAUUAAUUCCAGCUUUACUGUCAAUUCUAAUUCACAGUUGCCCACAUAUUGAAACUGAGUGACUAAAAGGGGUCUCAUUAUAUUCUAGGCGUUUGCAAUGUCACAUCUAGAGAGAUGAGCGCACCUGGAGACAAAUGACCAGACUACCAUAAAACAGAAGCUUAAUUAUGUUCACUUACAUUUUCAAAUUAUUCCCAACAAAUUACCUUG